rnacentral:rRNA from 1 species
GACGAACGCUGGCGGCGUGCUUAACACAUGCAAGUCGAACGGAAAGGCCCGGCCUUGGUGGGGUGCUCGAGUGGCGAACGGGUGAGUAACACGUGGGUAACCUGCCCUUGACUGUGGGAUAACCUCAGGAAACUGGGGCUCAUAGCGGAUAGGAUCUCCUGCUGCUGGGUGGGGGUGGGAUAGUUUCGGCGGUUGGGGAUGGACUCGCGGCUUAUCAGCUUGUUGGAGUGGUAGUGGCUUACCAAGGCUUUGACGGGUAGCCGGGCUGGUCGGAUAACCGGCCCCACUAGGACUGGGCUGCGGCCCGGCCUCCUACGCUACGCAGCGCUGGAGUGUGGUACAUAGUGGGCGGAGCCCUAGUGCAGCCAAGCAGUGCGCGGGAUGACAGCAUGCGGUUAGUAUUCCGCAUCCGCCUGUGCCGAGACGUGAGUGACGGUACUGGGUGAAGAAGCACCGGCUAACUCCGUG